AUACACAACGGCAGCUUUCCUACUGAUCAAUUAGUCCAGGCACAUUGACACAAGCCCCUGGAUUUUGCAACGUGAUGGCGGUGUUUGACAACUACCAUUCUGCUUUAGCUUUCCUCCAGAAUACCUGCCUUGCAUUGGCCCUGGGUAAAUGUUUCCCUUGGCUGUGAAUAGGCAAUUAAAAUUCUGAACCUUUUAUGGCUCUGGAAGCUUAUCCGAUGAAACAAUACUCAUCCAGGCGGAUGGCCCACCAGCGCAAAGGGCUGAGGCCGCUGUAAGCCAAGGUACGCAACGCUUGCUAAACAGGAAUCCCUGGAAUGAAUCCAUGCAUGAGGCCUUUGUGCCAUGUGACAGUUGAAGGCUGUGGUGACCCCGGAACCGUCCCACUCCGAGACGCCUUAACACCGUUUUUCUGCUGUUACAAACCACAGAGCAACGCGUGUGCCUCCUCCCGCCCUGGGGACUCUUUCUGUGGGAGAGGUGCCUGGAUUUAGAGGAGCGACCACUCUUCAUUUGUAGGUACUCUCCCUAGCCUGGGAGCCCUUCAGCUCCCACUCCAGAGUGGUUGUUGGUGGAUCUUGGUCACUUUCCCAGUUGUCACUCGGCCCACAAACUAGGAUGUGAGCAGCAUAUUAAGAAUCUGCAGAGAUGUUCCCGUCUGCCCGGCAUAUGGAUGUCCUUCUGGGCUGCAAAGUGGCAUCCUGUGGGCAACUCCCCCCACAACAACCAGCUGUGAGCUGUGCCCAGGCACAGAGGGACCUGGCUUUCCCUGUUUCUGCAGAUGGAGCCCAGGGUUUCAGGGAGGGAGGGGGCAGGCUGGGACCUGUUGGGGAUCUGGGCACUUUCUCAUGCUCCUUGAGCUGCAAGUCAUAGAAGGAGUGGGGUGGGAGCUGGGAAUGUACCUUCCCAAGGCCACUGGCAGAACCAGCAGGCCCUUUGCUCUGGGAUGAGCUCCCUCUGAGGGGUGGGGACAGUAAAGCGGACCGAAGUCCCUGUUCUGCGGGAUGGAAACUGGCUCCCCUCCAUUGUACAGGCCAGCUCUGGGGAUUUGGGCAGCAGAUUUGGGGUUGACAGCAGAAUGACAUGAUCACCAGUUGACCUUGGCCAGGAUGCCAGCUUACUUUCUCGCUUACUUCUGCAGGUUCUUUGUUCUGCGGGUGAGUCACCCAGGUCCUGCCCUCCGUGCCUGUCUGCCCUCUCCCACUUUCCCUGCCCUGAGCUUGUUCCCACUUGUAGAUUUGGCAGGUCACUGCCAAGGCCCCUAUUCCCCCAACAUGGCCAGUGCCCUAAGGGUGGGUUGUACAGGGAGGAGCUGGCGUGGUCAGUAGACUUGAAUCAGGGACAACUCGGCUGCUGAAGGCUGAGGGGGCCUUGCAGGGCUGCAGGUGCCUUGUGCACACAGGGAGUGGGUAGAGAAGGCAACCAGGGGCUCCUUCAGGCCUUAAUGCUCUGCAGCCCAGUGAGGCUGUGCCCAGAGAGUCUGGCGAGGCCCUGGUCUGCUCCCCCAGCCAAUGGCCUGAUGCUGUUCCAUCUGGGCACCCUGUCACUUUUCGUUCAUCAGGGAGUACAGGGUGAUUCAGGGUCUCAAAUGCAGGUGUUCACAAAAUGAAAUAGAACUUCCCUCUAUCCCCGUGCUUCUUUUUAUUUUUAUAACAAAUAUACAUCGUUAUAUUUUAUUUUUAUAUUUAUGUAUUUUAUAUAUAUGUGACAUCUACUACAUGACAGAAAAUAUUUAUGGCCAGGCAAGGUGGCUUACACCUGUAAUGCCAGCACUUUGGGAGGCUGAGGCAGGCGGAUCACCUGAGGUCGAGAGUUGGAGACCAGUGUGACCAACAUGGAGAAACCCCAUCUCUACUAAAAAUACAAAAUCAGCUGGGGGUGGUGGCGCAUGCCUGUAAUCCCAGCUACUCGGGAAGCUGAGGCAGGAGAAUCGCUUGAACCGGGGAGGCGGAGGUUGUGGUGAGCCGAGAUUGCACCAUUGCACUCCAGCCUGGCAACAAGGGAUAAACCCCGUCUCAAAAAAAAAAAAAGAAAAAAAAAAAGAAAAAAAUAUUUAUAAUGUAACUAAUAUAGCUAAAAUAAAAUGUAAUUUCAGUCUCAAGCCUUCAUUCUGUUAAGGGGACAGAAACUUAAUCUUGGUCAUCUUGGGGUCUCCCUCCCUGGGGCUGUGCCUGACUUCCAGGGGGCUCGGCGUUGGCAGGAUUUCUGGUGCUUGAGGUCACCUGUCAGCCUGUCUCUUGUCAUUGGCUAUCCGCCGUGCCAUCUGCUCCUGUGUGUCCUUGGCACUGUUCGCAUGUCUCCAGCUCGCUGGCUUUCUCUGCCACCUUGGAGCCACUCCUGGGUGCACAGGAGUCUUACUGCUCCCACGCUGUGCUGGGGCCUGGGAAGACUGCUGUGGCCUACCUGCCUCCGUGUAGCACACACACCCAUUUCUUCUUCUUCUUCUCCUUCUCCUUCUUCAGACAGAGACUCACUCUGUCACCUAGGCUGGACUGCAGUGGUGCCAAAUUGGCUCACUGCAACCUCCGCCUCCCGGGUU
rnacentral:lncRNA from 10 species